rnacentral:rRNA from 1 species
AUUGAACGCUGGCGGCAGGCCUAACACAUGCAAGUCGGGCGAGAGGCGGACGGGUGAGUAAUGUAUGGGGAUCUGCCUGAUGGCGGGGGAUAACUACUGGAAACGGUAGCUAAUACCGCAUAACCUCAGAUGAACCCAUAUGGGAUUAGCUAGUAGGUAAGGUAACGGCUUACCUAGGCGACGAUCCCUAGAUGGUCGGAGGGGAUGAUAAGCCACACUGGUGCUGUGACACGGCCCAGACUCCUACGUGAGGCAGCAGUGGGGAAUAUUUCACAAUGGGCGCAAGCCUGAUGCAGCCAUGCCGCGUGUAUGAAGAAGGCCUUCGGGUUGUAAAGUACUUUCAGUCGGGAGGCGUUACCGACAGAAGAAGCACCGGCUAACUCCGUGCCAGCAGCCGCGGUAAUAC